rnacentral:rRNA from 1 species
GUGAACGCUGGCGGCGUGCCUAACACAUGCAAGUCGAACGAUGAUGGAGAGCUUGCUUUCUUGAUUAGUGGCGCACGGGUGAGUAAUGCAUAGAUAAUGUGCCCCUUAGUUCGGGAUAGCCACUGGAAACGGUGAUUAAUACCGGAUACUCCUUCUUACUAUAAGGUAAGUCGGGAAAGUUUUUCGCUAAGAGAUCAGUCUAUGUCCUAUCAGCUAGUUGGUGAGGUAAUGGCUCACCAAGGCUAUGACGGGUAUCUGGUGUGAGAGGAUGAUCAGACACACUGGAACUGAGACACGGUCCAGACUCCUACGGGAGGCAGCAGUGAGGAAUAUUGCACAAUGGAGGAAACUCUGAUGCAGCAACGCCGCGUGGAGGAUGACGCAUUUCGGUGUGUAAACUCCUUUUAAGAGGGAAGAGAAUGACGGUACCUCUUGAAUAAGCACCGGCUAACUCCGU